CUGCCAGAAUUCAUAUGCUUGUCCCGAAGAAUCAAGCCAUGCAUGCCCAUGAGAAAUGAACGGCCAAACUGUGGUCCAGGGGAGCUACCCGCUCCCAGGCCCGACCUGGUUGUAAGGAUUCAGCGAACGGCUCCGCAUAUCUGUUGUCACCUAUCGUGGUAAAUUGGCGUGGAUAGAGCACGGAAAAGCUGUGUAUAACACAGAUAAGAUGGGGCAAGCGCAGAGUAGAUAGCCCUUGCUCAGCGAAUAAAUGGGCCGUAACCUUCGGCCCUGCCUCGUAAAUGGCUCCCAUAUAACGUGCCGUCGAUAAACCGUGCGGGAAAGUUAUGCGGAGGCCUCUGCCGGGGAGGUCGCUGUCCAAAUCCCGGAAAUUCACAGUAGACACCCAACCAUGCAGAGACUAACCACUAGCGCACGAUGGACUUCAGACCUAUCAGCUAGAUGGUAGGGUAUUGGCCUACCAUGGCCAUGACGGGUACAGAGGAUUAGGGUUUGAUCCUGGAGAGGUAGCCUGAGAAAUCGCUCCCACUUCUAAGGAAGGCAGCAGGCGCGUAACGUUCCCAAUGCUAAGUACAGUGAGGACGUAAUGGGAUAUAACAAUGCCUCUUUAAUAGUGG
rnacentral:rRNA from 1 species